rnacentral:rRNA from 1 species
AGUGAACGCUGGCGGUAGGCCUAACACAUGCAAGUCGAACGGCAGCACAGGAGAGCUUGCUCUCUGGGUGGCGAGUGGCGGACGGGUGAGGAAUACAUCGGAAUCUACUUUUUCGUGGGGGAUAACGUAGGGAAACUUACGCUAAUACCGCAUACGACCUACGGGUGAAAGCAGGGGAUCUUCGGACCUUGCGCGAUUGAAUGAGCCGAUGUCGGGUUAGCUAGUUGGCGGGGUAAAGGCCCACCAAGGCGACGAUCCGUAGCUGGUCUGAGAGGAUCAUCAGCCACACUGGAACUGAGACACGGUCCAGACUCCUACGGGAGGCAGCAGUGGGGAAGAUUGGACAAUGGGCGCAAGCCUGAUCCAGCCAUACCGCGUGGGUGAAGAAGGCCUUCGGGUCGUAAAGCCCUUUUGUUGGGAAAGAAAUCCAGCUGGUUAAUACCCGGUUGGGAUGACGGUACCCAAAGAAUAAGCACCGGCUAACUUCGUGCCAGCCGCCGCAGUAA